GUAGGUGGCAAGCGUUGUCCGGAAUUAUUGGGCGUAAAGCGCGCGCAGGCGGUUCUUUAAGUCUGAUGUGAAAGCCCACGGCUCAACCGUGGAGGGUCAUUGGAAACUGGGGAACUUGAGUACAGAAGAGGAAAGCGGAAUUCCACGUGUAGCGGUGAAAUGCGUAGAGAUGUGGAGGAACACCAGUGGCGAAGGCGGCUUUCUGGUCUGUAACUGACGCUGAGGCGCGAAAGCGUGGGGAGCAAACAGGAUUAGAUACCCUGGUAGUCCACGCCGUAAACGAUGAGUGCUAAGUGUUAGGGGGUUUCCCGCCCCCUUAGUGCUGCAGCUAACGCAUUAAGCACUCCGCCUGGGGAGUACGGCCGCAAGGCUG
rnacentral:rRNA from 1 species